rnacentral:tRNA from 1 species
AGGGAUAUAGCUCAGUGGUAGAGCACUUGCCUAGCAAGUAUGAGGCCCUGGGUUCAAUCUCCAGUACUACCA